UGAGUAACGCGUAUCCAACUCCCUAGUAGGCAUAGCCCGGCGAAAGUCGGAUUAAUACCCUAUGUUAUCCGAAGAGGACAUCUGAAUUGGAUUAAAGAUUUAUCGCUAAGGGAUGGGGAUGCGUCUGAUUAGGUAGUCGGCGGGGUAACGGCCACCGAGCCUGCGAUCAGUAGGGGUUCUGAGAGGAAGGUCCCCCACAUUGGAACUGAGACACGGUCCAAACUCCUACGGGAGGCAGCAGUGAGGAAUAUUGGUCAAUGGGCGCGAGCCUGAACCAGCCAAGUAGCGUGCAGGUAAUGACGGCCCUAUGGGUUGUAAACUGUCUUUUAUGCGGGGAUAAAGUGCACCACGUGUGGUGUUUUGUAGGUACCGCAUGAAUAAGGACCGGCUAAUUCCGUGCCAGCAGCAGC
rnacentral:rRNA from 1 species